CAUUCACUCGUUCUUUCUUUCUUUCCUGUCCUGCGGCUGCUGCCUCUUUUUCAUUUUUUCUCAACUGAAAUCUGAAGAGUGGAGAACAACAAUCCAUCGUUAACCACUUACCAUCAGUGUAGCGAAAUCAUAUACUUCUUCUUCAAUCAACAAUAGCAAGUCAAGGUUUACAAGACAAAGGAUUUGAUGAGUCUGUAAAUGGUGAAGCUCAAAGCACAAGAUAUUUUACUGCUGGAUUGAUGGAUUGUUUUGAUAUACUUAUGCGCUCAAGCUUUUGAUGACCAUACUUGAUUUACUUAUCUUUUAUGCAAUUCAUGGUUACCGAUUCCUGCUAUGUUCCUUGUUGGUAAUUUUGUAUGAAAUCUUUUUCUUGCCCCUUUGAAAUUCCUGAAAAACUUUGGUGAAAUCAUAUAACCUAAGUUACAAGGAAUCGAUCUAUAGAGAAUCCAUGACAUGAAUAGUGGUUGUGCUUUUGACUUUUGUAGAAACCAUAAAUUCAGAUUUCUUAGUUUCAUUUGAGAAACUUAGUGGCUUUAGUAGUAAAGCUGUAUUUUCUUUGGUAAAAAGAAAAAGAACUUAAUCUUUUCUGGGUUCAGAAUCAGGGCAAGAUUUAUAUGCUGAACUUUUGAAACAUUUGCAGGUAACACAGCUUUCACCUUCCAUAUUAGAGUCUGAAGGCGUGCCGGUCUACCGUUGUGUUCAGAAUCCCGGGGAGUUUUUAUCUCACCUUCCCUCGAGCAUAUCAUUCUGGCUUCAAUUGCGGCUUCAACUGUGCUGAGGCUGUAAAUGCAGCUCCUCUUGAUUUGUUGCGUCAUGGGAAAAAUGUUGUAGAGCUUUACCGUGAGCAGGGACGUAAGACAUCAAUUUCUCAUGACAAGUUGUUACUAGGUGCAGAAAGGGAAGCUGUUAGGGAAAAUUGGGAAAUAUCAUUAUUAAGGAAGAACACCAUAGAUAACAUAAGAUGGAAAGAUGUCCGUGGAAAGGAUAACUGCUUGCUACUUGUUAUCUGCCUUACAUGUUUGUGGAUAGGAGUUCUAGUGUAAAUCUCAUAAGAUUAAUUUUGUAUAUAUCUUGUUUGAUAUAUGUCUUACUAUGGUGGGCACUGCUUAAAAAGUCCACUGGUAUUAAGGUAUCAGAUUAUAUUGUCCUGCACAUACCUUUACUCUUGUGAUUAGUAUACAUCUCAGCAUUGGCAAACACUUCUUACUACAAGGGCUUAUUUUGUUCCUAAGAUGCUGAGAUAUUGAAUUAUUUGCUGUACUGCAGGUUAUCUGGGUCGUCUUCAAGUGUUUAGAAGAUACGGUGGAAAAGGAAAUGGAUGCAUUAUUGCUGGUUAUUAUGAACUGUUUAGUUCAAUUUCAAUUUUAACCACUCAACAAGCAUAUGGUAUUCAGCAAUAACCACGGGGUUAGUCGUUCAUUGGAUCUCAUUGUUCACUUUUUUAUGUAGUUACAAAGAAGCAUUUCUCUGGGAGAUUUUCAGUCCAUAGAUCGAGUUUCUUUUGUUACGGAAGUGUUAAGAUUAGGAGAGGUUCAAUUGGAAGAUCUGCCUUCAGAUUGGGAUUUGGAUGUAGUAGCCAGUAUGACUGAUGGGUGUUUUAGAUGUGAUCUCAAGAAUCUUUGUGUUCCUCCACACUGUCCAUAACAGAGAUUCUAGAAAAGGAGUGCCUUACUGUUAGCUUGUUGAAUCACUGAGAGGAAAAGGCUGCAGCAUUAGCUGCUGGCAAAUCCCUUUCCACGCUGAGAGUAUGGAAAAAUGCUCAUGAGCAGUGGAAUGAACUCAAUGGUGAAGGUGGUUGCAGAAGGACAAAGUCUCUUAGCUACACUGCAGAAAGCGUGCAAAGAGCUUCAUUUGUUGGUUUGGAGAUAUCUCAUUGCUGUACUUAAGCAUUUGUGUUUGGAUGUUAGCAAACAAAUAUGUUCAAGUUAUUUGUUGUCUUAUUGGCUAUCCAGAAGAGGUGGAUGGAUUUUGUAGUUGAAUUUGUUGUAUUGUUUUCAGAAUAAAGAUUUUACUCUUGUGAAUCA